CCUACGGGUGGCAGCAGUGGGGAAUCUUCCGCAAUGGGCGAAAGCCUGACGGAGCAACGCCGCGUGAUCGAAUGAAGGCCUUCGGGUUGUAAAGCUCUGUUGACAGGGACGAAUAAGCAAUGCGAAUAGUUUUGUGUAUGACGGUACCUGUUUAGACAGCUCCGGCUAACUACGUGCCAGCAGCCGCGGUAAUACGUAGGGAGCAAGCGUUGUCCGGAAUUACUGGGCGUAAGGGGCGCGUAGGUGGGCGCUUAAGUCAGUUGUGAAAACUCCGGGCUCAACCUGGAGACUGCACUUGAAACUGGGUGCCUUGAGGGCAUGUGAGGAAGGUGGAAUUCCUAGUGUAGCGGUGAAAUGCGUAGAUAUUAGGAGGAACACCAGUUGCGAAGGCGACUUUCUGGGCUAUACCUGACGCUGAGGCGCGAAAGCGUGGGUAGCGAACGGGAUUAGAUACCCGGGUAGUC
rnacentral:rRNA from 1 species